UACGUAGGUGACAAGCGUUGUCCGGAUUUAUUGGGCGUAAAGCGCGCGCAGGCGGGCUCGUAAGUCUGAUGUGAAAGCCCACGGCUCAACCGUGGAAGGUCAGUGGAAACUGGGAGACUUGAAUGCAGAAGAGGAAAGUGGAAUUCCAUGUGUAGCGGUGAAAUGCGUAGAUAUAUGGAGGAACACCAGUGGCGAAGGCGACUUUCUGGUCUGUAAUCGACGCUGAGGCUCGAAAGCGUGGGGAGCAAACAGG
rnacentral:misc_RNA from 1 species